ACGCAGCCAACUUGUCUAAGGGGGGGGGGGAAUUACAAUUAAAAUAAAGACUGGGAAUUAUAAAAGGCUGAGUCAUAUUAGCAAAAAUUGCAGCAUAGACAUUAAUAAACUGCUGAAUAAAUCAGACGACAGACCCACUGUCAGAUAAGAUCCUGGUUAUUCAGAUCCAGACCACAGGCAUACAGUUCUACUACCAGAUCUGUCUGAAUCAAAUGAUUGAUAGAACCAGCGGUCAAAUUGUUUUUGUUUAGUAGAAAGUUCCUACAAUCAGCCCUGUAAUUUUAAAUGAUUGACAAAUCCAGCCUGGAUGCUUCUUGAUGUGAAUUAUAGUCUUCACAAUAUGGGAACUUCAAAUAUCCAGAAUAGGGGAUAUAAUUUUAUUUUUUAAUAUAAUUUAUCAUAAAUUUAUGAAAUAAUGUCGUACAAGCAGAUCAUUAUCAUUAAAUUGUGUAAAUAAAGUAUCCAUACAUUUCA